GGCGGCCGCGCGGCGCGAUGGCGGCGGGGCUGGCGCGGCUUCUGUUGCUCCUCGGGCUCUCGGCCCGCGGGCCCGCGCCGGCAGGUGCAGCGAAGAUGAAGGUGGUGGAGGAGCCCAACUCGUUCGGGUGAGCAGCCUCGCGGGCUGGCGGCUCGGGCGGGGGACGGCUCGGGCCCGUUCCCCGUUGACCUUGCCGCUUCCCGUAGGGUGAACAACCCGUUCUUGCCCCAGGCCAGUCGCCUCCAGGCCAAGAGGGAUCCUUCACCCGUGUCUGAGACGGGGUUUCACCGUGUUAGCCAGGAUGGUCUCGAUCUCCUGACCUCGUGAUCUGCCCGCCUCGGCCUCCCACAGUGCUGGGAUGACAGGCGUGAGCCACCGCGCCCGGCCUCGACUUUAUUAUUAACACGGUAAAACUACAG
rnacentral:sRNA from 1 species